GCAUCUCUCUUACACCGAGAAGUCAUCUGUGCAAAUCAGAUUGCCCU
rnacentral:tRNA from 1 species